rnacentral:rRNA from 1 species
GACGAACGCUGGCGGCGUGCUUAACACAUGCAAGUCGAACGAGUGGCGAACGCGUGAGUAACACGUGGGUGAUCUGCCUUGCACUUCGGGAUACGCUUGGGAAACUGGGUCUAAUACCGGAGCGUGCAAGAUGAGCUCGCGGCCUAUCAGCUUGUUGGUGGGGUAAUGGCUACCAAGGGGCGCCGGGUAGCCGGCCUGCGAGGGUGGACGACCACAUGGGGACUGAGAUACGGCCCAGACUGCGACGGGAGGCAGAAGUGGGGAAUAUUGCACAAGGGGCGGAAGCCUGAGGCAGCGACGCCGCGUGGGGGAUGAAGGCCUGCGGGUUGUAAACGCCUUUCGACAGGGACGCGGUAACGGUAUAAGAAGCACCGGCUAACUACGUGCCAGCAGCCGCGGUAAUAC